rnacentral:rRNA from 1 species
GAUGAACGCUGGCGGCGUGCCUAAUACAUGCAAGUCGAGCGAACAGACGAUGAGCUUGCUCCUCUGACGUUAGCGGCGGACGGGUGAGUAACACGUGGAUAACCUACCUAUAAGACUGGGAUAACUUCGGGAAACCGGAGCUAAUACCGGAUAAUAUAUUGAACCGCAUGGUUCAAUAGUGAAAGACGGUUUUGCUGUCACUUAUAGAUGGAUCCGCGCCGCAUUAGCUAGUUGGUAAGGUAACGGCUUACCAAGGCAACGAUGCGUAGCCGACCUGAGAGGGUGAUCGGCCACCCUGGAGCUGAGACACGGUCCAGACGCCUACGGGAGGCAGCAGUAGGGAAUCUUCCGCAAUGGGCGAAAGCCUGACGGAGCAACGCCGCGCGAGUGAUGAAGGUCUUCGGAUCGUAAAACUCUGUUAUUAGGGAAGAACAAAUGUGUAAGUAACUAUGCACGUCUUGACGGUACCUAAACAGAAAGCCACGGCUAACUACGUG